rnacentral:rRNA from 1 species
AGAGUUUGAUCAUGGCUCAGGAUGAACGCUGGCGGCGUGCUUAACACAUGCAAGUCGAGCGGAAAGGCCCUUUCGGGGGUACUCGAGCGGCGAACGGGUGAGUAACACGUGAGUAAUCUGCCUUGCACUCUGGGAUAGCCUUGGGAAACUGAGAUUAAUACCGGAUAUGACAUGUGCCUGCAUGGGUGUGUGUGGAAAGUUUUUUCGGUGCAAGAUGUGCUCGCGGCCUAUCAGCUUGUUGGUGAGGUAAUGGCUCACCAAGGCUUCGACGGGUAGCCGGCCUGAGAGGGUGACCGGCCACACUGGGACUGAGACACGGCCCAGACUCCUACGGGAGGCAGCAGUGGGGAAUAUUGCGCAAUGCGCGAAAGCCUGACGCAGCGACGCCGCGUGAGGGAUGACGGCCUUCGGGUUGUAAACCUCUUUCAGCUCUGACGAAGCGAGAGUGACGGCAGGAGCAGAAGAAGCACCGGCCAACUACGUGCCAGCAGCCGCGGUAAUACGUAGGGUGCAAGCGUUGUCCGGAAUUAUUGGGCGUAAAGAGCUCGUAGGCGGUUUGUCGCGUCGAAUGUGAAAACCCGGGGCUCAACCUCGGGCCUGCAUUCGAUACGGGCAGACUAGAGUUCGGUAGGGGAGUCUGGAAUUCCUGGUGUAGCGGUGAAAUGCGCAGAUAUCAGGAGGAACACCGGUGGCGAAGGCGGGACUCUGGGCCGAUACUGACGCUGAGGAGCGAAAGUGUGGGGAGCGAACAGGAUUAGAUACCCUGGUAGUCCACACCGUAAACGUUGGA